GACAGAGGGUGCAAACGUUGUUCGGAAUUACUGGGCGUAAAGCGCGUGUAGGCUGCUCUGCAAGUCGGGUGUGAAAGCCCUGGGCUCAACCGAGGAACUGCCCUCCAAACUGCUUCGCUUGAGACCGGGAGAGGUGAGUGGAAUUCCCAGUGUAGCGGUGAAAUGCGUAGAUAUUGGGAGGAACACCAGUGGCGAAGGCGGCUCACUGGACCGGUACUGACGCUGAUGCGCGAAAGCGUGGGGAGCAAACGGGG
rnacentral:rRNA from 1 species